rnacentral:rRNA from 1 species
GACGAACCGUCCAAACGUUAUUCGGAAUUACUGGGCGUAAAGCGUGCGUAGACGGCUAUCUAAGUCGGGUGUGAAAGCCCCGGGCUCAACCUGGGAAUUGCAUUCGAGACUGAAUAGCUAGGGUACGGUAGAGGGAAGCGGAAUUUCCGGUGUAGCGGUGAAAUGCGUAGAUAUCGGAAGGAACAUCAGUGGCGAAAGCGGCUUCCUGGACCAGUACCGACGUCAGGCACGAAAGCGUGGGGAGCAAACAGG